rnacentral:ncRNA from 1 species
CGAACCUGGGUGAUCUAUCCAGGACCAGGAUAAAGCUUGGAUGAAAUUAAGUGGAGGUUCGAAUCGACUGAUGUUGAAGAAUCAUCGGAUGAGUUGUGGUUAGGGUGAAUUGCCACUCGAACCCAAGGUUGGUU